rnacentral:tRNA from 1 species
UCUAAGGAAUAUUACGGAAAUACACAUUUCGUCUUUACUUUGUUCAGUUUUGAGAGGUCUACUCUCAAUCAAAUAAAUUCGGGGCCUUAGCUCAGCUGGGAGAGCGCCUGCUUUGCACGCAGGAGGUCAGCGGUUCGAUCCCGCUAGGCUCCAUUGAUAGCUUUUGCUAUCAGAUUCGUUCAUUGAAAACUGGAUAUUGAAGUAAAAAGAAUCAAAACAAACCGAGAACACCGCGUUGAAUGAGUUUUUUAAUAAGUUCAAUUGCUUAUUUAUUGAUUAACCUUCUAUCGCUAGAAGAAGUGAUCAAGACCCAACCGUAAGGUUGAUAA